CGGCAGCGUGGCGUGUGUGUUUGUGGUUUCUCUUUAUGUGUAUCAACCCUGGGGCGGCAGGUAGCCUAUUGGUUAGAGCGUUGGGCCAGUAAGCGAAAGGUUUCUAGAUUGAAUAACCAAGCUGACAAGGUGUCUGCCUGUCUGUCCCUCCAUGGUGUCUGUGAACUUGUCCGGGAACCUGGCGGUGACCUAGGUGGUACUCCAAAGCCUCCUCUCCACCUAGCGACCUUUGACCUAUCUCAACCUCCAAGGCACAGCAGGCCUAUAGUUGUCAUCUCUCGAGGAUCAGAUGAUGACACGGGUACCAGAAGGGUCAGAAAGACAUGGAAGACCAG